AUUGCACGCUGGCGGCAGGCCUAACACAUGCAAGUCGAACGAGUGGCGGACGGGUGAGUCAUGUCUGGGAAACUGCCUGAUGGAGGGGGAUAACUAAUGGAAACGGUAGCUAAUACCGCAUACCAUCGGAUGUGCCCAGAUGGGAUUCGCUAGUAGGUGGGGUAACGGCUCACCUAGGCGACGAUCCCUAGCUGGUCUGAGAGGAAGACCAGCCACACUGGAACGUAUGCACGGUCCAGACUCCUACGUGAGGCAGCAGUGGGGAAUAUUGCACAAUUGGCGCAAGCCUGAUGCAGCCAUGCCGCGUGUAUGCAGAAGGCCUUCGGGUUGUAAAGUACUUUCAGCGGGGAGGCGUUACCCGCAGAAGAAGCACCGGCUAACUCCGUGCCAGCAGCGGCGGUAAUAC
rnacentral:rRNA from 1 species